rnacentral:rRNA from 1 species
GUGGGGAAUCUUCCGCAAUGGACGAAAGUCUGACGGAGCAACGCCGCGUGAGUGAUGAAGGUCUUCGGAUUGUAAAGCUCUGUUAAUCGGGACGAAAGAGCCUAGUGUGAAUAAUGCUAGGAAGUGACGGUACCGGAAUAGAAAGCCACGGCUAACUACGUGCCAGCAGCCGCGGUAAUACGUAGGUGACAAGCGUUGUCCGGAAUUAUUGGGCGUAAAGCGCGCGCAGGCGGAUCUGCCAGUCUGUCUUAAAAGUUCGGGGCUUAACCCCGUGAUGGGAUGGAAACUACAGAUCUAGAGUAUCGGAGAGGAAAGUGGAAUUCCUAGUGUAGCGGUGAAAUGCGUAGAUAUUAGGAAGAACACCAGUGGCGAAGGCGACUUUCUGGACGAAAACUGACGCUGAGGCGCGAAAGCCAGGGGAGCGAACGGGAUUAGAAACCCUGGUAGUCC